AGAGCGAACGCUGGCGGCAGGCCUAAUACAUGCAAGUCGAGCGGCCACUUCGGUGGCAGCGGCGGACGGGUGAGUAACGCGUGGGAAUGUGCCCUUUGGUACGGAACAACUGAGGGAAACUUCAGCUAAUACCGUAUGUGCCCUUCGGGGGGAAAGAUUUAUUGCCAUUGGAGCAGCCCGCGUUGGAUUAGCUAGUUGGUGGGUAAAGCCCACAAGGCGACGAUCCAUAGCUGGUCUGAGAGGAUGAUCAGCCACACUGGGACUGAGACACGGCCCAGACUCCUACGGGAGCAGCAGUAGGAAUCUGCGCAAUGGGCGAAAGCCUGACGCAGCCAUGCCGCGUGAAUGAGUGAAGGUCUUAGGAUUAGUAAAAUUCUUUACGAACCGGGAAG
rnacentral:rRNA from 1 species